rnacentral:rRNA from 1 species
CACCCGUUCCCAUCCCGAACACGGCAGUUAAGCCCUCCCGCGCCGAUGAUACUGCUUCCCGCGGGAAAGUAGGUCGCCGCCAGAC